rnacentral:rRNA from 1 species
AUUGAACGCUGGCGGCAUGAUUUACACAUGCAAGUCGAACGGUAACAUGCCGCAAGGUCCUGACUAAUGUUGAACGGGUGAGUAAUGCAUCGGAACGUGCCCAGUCGCUGUGAGUAACUACUCGAUAGAGUAGCUAAUACCUCAUACCAGCUAUUGUUUAAAGCGGGGUGGCGUAAUAGUUCACGCGAUUUUUGCUGUCGCUGUCAGAUGAGGUAGUUGGUGGGGUAAAGGCUCACCAAGGCAACGAUCUGUAGCUGGUCUGAGAGGACGACCAGCCACACUGGAACUGAGACACGGUCCAGACUCCUACGGGAGGCAGCAGUGGGGAAUUUUGGACAAUGGGCGAAAGCCUGAUCCAGCAAUGCCGCGUGCAGGAAGAAGGCCUUCGGGUUGUAAAAUGCUUUUGUACGGAAAGAAACGGCUCUGGUUAAUACCCGGAGCUCAUGACGGUACCGUAAGAAUAAGCACCGGCUAACUACGUG